rnacentral:rRNA from 1 species
UACGGAGGGGGCUAGCGUUGUUCGGAAUGACUGGGCGUAAAGGGCGUUUAGGCUGUUGAUCAAGUCAAGCGUGAAAGCCUCGGGCUUAACCCGAGAACUGCGUUUGAUACUGGUUGACUUGAGGACGAGAGAGGAAAGUGGAAUUCCGAGUGUAGAGGUGAAAUUCGUAGAUAUUCGGAGGAACAUCAGAGGCGAAGGCGGCUUUCGGGCUCGUAUAUGACGUUGAGGCGCGAAAGCGUGGGGAGCAAACAGG